rnacentral:lncRNA from 1 species
GUGCUGGUUUUUUACUUUAAGUACUAAUAAAACAAUAAUAAUCUCAUGUAUCCACUAUCCAACAUGUGAAGGGAGAAAAAAGGGAAAGCCAAUCCAUUUAAUGGGCAAGGACUCUGCAACAGACUGCAACUCUCUGCGGACUUUGUUAGCCGCGGGUAGCACUCUCUCCAUUCCAUUUCAUAGCCCUGAAAAAGGUUUACUUUCUUUCCUUCUUUUUACUUUUUCUUUUUCAGCAACUUACUGCUUACCCUUUACUGUAAUCUUUAAUGGCUGUUGCCUGUAGUGGUAAUCUUUUAUUAUAUAAACAUCUUCUAUUUCAAAGAAUUUUAUAUGAGAUAUAUAUUACAUGACAAGUUGAAAUAAAUUUCUGCUCUUUUUCUUCUCUACUGUGUCACUGACGGAAAUUUCAUCAGUUUUCUUAUUUUUACAAUGCCUAUAUGAUAGUAGCUGUCUUUGUGUUUUUCGAGGAGGGUUAUGAAACAUCAUUGUAUUAAAAAUGCAGAUAUAUUUUAUGUAAGUAUGGUUCAAAGUUUAUAAUUAUUUUUUAAUAAAUUAGAAAAUAUAGUUUUGAAUAAAUAUAAAUAAUCAAUUUAAAUCUUUUAGUAAUUUUUAAUAAAUUCUAUAACUAAAUAUUUAUAUGAUAAUUAUUUAUUAUAUGGGAUAUCCUAGACUAGACAUACACAAACAAUACUUAAAAUAUCUUUUUAUUUUUUGCAUUUGCAUAUAAUAUUAAGGGGUUUUUUUAUAUUUAUUUCUGAUUAACAAAUUAUUAACUACUCAAAGUAUGCAUUAUGUAAUGUAGUGUUGUUUAGGGUUAAAUCUAUCAUCCAAUCAAUACUAGAGAGAUGGUAGGUGUUGUUUUGUGUCUGCAUCUUAUCUGCACACAUACGACAGGUUGUCAUAAAUAAUACAGUACACCCUGUUUAUAAUCAACCACGUUUUGCGAGCUCUAACUCUUUUCCUGUUUCUUUUUUGUUUUUUCCACCAAAAUCCUCCCCUUUGUUAUAUUAUUUUCCAAAACUGGUGUUCUGAUUAAGAUCAAGAUUGUAAUUGGAAGGUGUACCAUCUCCAGAUUGAACAUUUCAUAGCAUAUGAAAGGGUGGGCAGUAGCAGUGAAGAAAUCAUGCCUCCAUAAUGGCAUAGGGACCCAUUAUUUUUGUUUUUGCUAUUGCCUCUGAAUCUGAUGAGGUAAAUUGGAAAUCAAGAGCCACCAAUCAAAAACUACGUACCCCACUCCAUAUAAACAUCAGCGUCAGAGAAGAUAAGCUCAACAUGGGAGGACGACAAACUACCGCCUGGGUUACCUAAGCCAAGACACCCAAACAUUGACUCAUUGUAACCCAAUAUUUGCUUCUUUCUGCAAGGAAACCGACAUCUCCAUAACUCAUCUCCAUCUAAUUUGCAUUCAACGGUUGGAUCUUGUGACCAGUGUCUGUACAUGAAUUGAGUUCCAAGAGAAAUAUAUAUAUAUUCCGUCCCCUUAAUUUUUUUUAUGCUGUUACUAUCUUUGUUUAUGAUUCCUUUUAACUUUUAAAUUAGACAAAAAUUAUAUAAUUGAAUGUAUUAUAUCUUUUUCAUUAUCUUUAUCCUUUCAAUUGCAAAUAUGUGAACAAGUUAGUGCUCAACUCGC